ACCCGCACAAGCAGCGGAGCGUGUGGUUUAAUUCGAUGCUACACGAAGAACCUUACCUGGGCUUGACAUGUACGUCGUAGGGAACCGAAAGGUAACCGAUCCUUCGGGAAGCGUACACAGGUGCUGCAUGGCUGUCGUCAGCUCGUGCCGUGAGGUGUUCGGUUAAGUCCGACAACGAGCGCAACCCUUGUUGCCAGUUAUACUUUACUGGCGAGACUGCUGGCAUAUAACCAGAGGAAGGUGGGAUGACGUCAAGUCAGUAUGGCCUUUAUGUCCAGGGCUACACACACGCUACAAUGGCCGGUACAGAGGGUAGCCAAGCCGCGAGGCGGAGCCAAUCCCAGAAAGCCGGUCUCAGUUCAGAUUGCAGGCUGCAACCCGCCUGCAUGAAGUCGGAAUCGCUAGUAAUCGCGGAUCAGCUUGCCGCGGUGAAUACGUUCCCGGGUCUU
rnacentral:rRNA from 1 species